UAAUCAGCUCUCCAUAAGUUCAGUAUAAAACCAUCCUCAUUCACCUUCUUCAUCACAGCAGCAAAUCUACUCCAUCCUUUAUGCACCAAAAAUCAUAGAGAGUUUAUUUCAGCUGCAAUCUGGACCCCAAGAGUUUAUUCACUCCUGAAUUCAUUAGCACAGCAGCCAACCAAGCACAAAACACACAAGGUCAAGCACAAGAGUUUAAGGCUUAGUCGUGAGUCUCUACUACCAGGUUGAGCUGUGAUGAACGAUGAAGUGUUGCUGAGUGGAGCUUUUGUCGAACUUAGAAUAGGCUCAGAAAUGAUAUGUGUCUGCAUACAUGUAUCUCAGUCUUGCCUUCCGCUGCAAACACUGAUUAUGUUUUAGUCAAGUCUAUAUUUAUGUCAAUUACUCUUCAAGAAAUAUUUAACGCUUACUCGGGUUCAUCGAGUAUCCUUUUUAACUA